CCUACGGGAGGCAGCAGUGGGGAAUAUUGCACAAUGGGGGAAACCCUGAUGCAGCGACGCCGCGUGAGUGCGGAAGUAUUUCGGUAUGUCACGCUCUCUCCUCAUUUAAGAAAAUGACGGUACCUGACUAAGAAGCCCCGGCUAACUACGUGCCAGCAGCCGCGGUAAUACGUAGGGGGCAAGCGUUAUCCGGAUUUACUGGGUGUAAAGGGAGCGUAGACGGCUAAUCAAGUCAGAAGUGAAAACCCAGGGCUCAACUUUGGGACUGCUUUUGAAACUGAGUAGCUAGAGUGCAGGAGAGGUAAGCGGAAUUCCUAGGGUAGAGGUGAAAUGCGUAGAUAUUAGGAGGAACACCAGUGGCGAAGGCGGCUUACUGGACUGUAACUGAAGUUGAGGCUCGAAAGCGUGGGGAGCAAACAGGAGUAGAGA
rnacentral:rRNA from 1 species